rnacentral:rRNA from 1 species
CUACCAUGCAAGUCGAGCGAAGAAGCCCCUUCGGGGGUGGAUUAGCGGCGGACGGGUGAGUAACGCGUGAACAAUCUGCCCUGUACAGAGGAAUAGCCUCGGGAAACCGGGAUUAAAACCACAUGACACUUAGAGAUCGCAUGAUUUUAGAGUCAAAUUGAUUAAGAGGUAUGGGAUGAGUUCGCGUCUGAUUAGCUAGUUGGUGAGGUAAAGGCCCACCAAGGCAACGAUCAGUAGCCGGCCUGAGAGGGUGAACGGCCACAUUGGAACUGAGACACGGUCCAAACUCCUACGGGAGGCAGCAGUGGGGAAUAUUGCACAAUGGAGGGAACUCUGAUGCAGCGACGCCGCGUGAGUGAAGAAGGUUUUCGGAUCGUAAAACUCUGUCCUUGGUGACGAAAGGAAUGACGGUAGCCAAGGAGGAAGCCCCGGCUAACUACGUGCCAGCAGCCGCGGUAAUACGUAGGGGGCGAGCGUUGUCCGGAUUUACUGGGCGUAAAGGGUGAGUAGGCGGUUGUAUAUGUCAGGUGUAAAAGGCACAGGCUUAACUUGUGUUAGCACAUGAAACUGUACAACUUGAGUGCAGGAGAGGUAAGCGGAAUUCCUAGUGUAGCGGUGAAAUGCGUAGAUAUUAGGAGGAACACCAGUGGCGAAGGCGGCUUACUGGACUGUAACUGACGCUGAGUCACGAAAGCGUGGGUAGCAAACAGGAUUAGAUACCCUGGUAGUCCACGCUGUAA